AGAGUUAAAAAGUGCGUGAAACCGCUGGAAGGGAAGCGAAUGGGGUCGGCAAUUCACCUGAUCAGAUUCAGUCACGCGCUUUCCACAACGCGCUCGCACUUCGCGAUCUUUCCAGACGCAUCGCGUGCGACGUGGGAAGGGCGUGGUGCACUUCUGUCACGUGAGCGUCAACGUCAGUUCACUGCGAGUCAAACGGCCCCGAGGACGGUAGGUCCCCCUUCUGUGGGAUCGGUAAGCCUCUCGUGCACACGACUCCCCGUGGACUGUGUCCUGUCGCGGCGCGGGCCUCCCUUCCGAGGGCAGGCUGCAGUCUCGUCGCUCUGCCGUUCACGGUGCUAAACGGACGGCGAUGCCUGUGCGUCACAAGCACAGACGGUCGAGUGGCGAGCGACACCCGCACGACGCCCCGAGUACGUUGACCGCCAAGCGACUCCAUCCGACCCGUCUUGAAACACGGACCAAGGAGUCUAACAUGUGCGCGAGUCUCAGGGUGACAGAAACCCGUGGGCGUAAUGAAAGUAAAUGCGCUUUUUGCGCAGAGGUGUGAAGUUCGCUGCAGCUGCUGCAUCACCGACCGACCUGUUCUACUCUUAGGAAGGUUUGAGUUAGAGCGCACCUGUUGGGACCCGAAAGAUGGUGAACUAUGCCUGAGUAGGGCGAAGCCAGCGGAAACACUGGUGGAAGCUCGUAGCGGUUCUGACGUGCAAAUCGAUCGUCGAAUUUGGGUAUAGCGGCGAAAGACUAAUCGAACCAUCUAGUAGCUGGUUCCCCUCCGAAGUUUCUCACAGGAUAGCUGGAACUCGGACACGCAGU
rnacentral:rRNA from 1 species